rnacentral:misc_RNA from 1 species
ACGAAUUGUAAAUGGGGGUUGAUGCUGGCAAGCUAAUUCUUUGACUGCAUGUGCUCCCUCCCAACAAUCUUUGACACACCUGUGCACCUUCUGAGGGUUUUCCGAGUAAGAUGGCUGAUUCUGGUGAUCUUCUUAGGAAUCCCCUCUUCUUCACAUACGCUGUUAAUAAUAUUGAACGUGCUCGUGCCUAUCAAGGCCCUAAUAAAAAUA